rnacentral:rRNA from 1 species
AUUGAACGCUGGCGGCAUGCCUUACACAUGCAAGUCGAACGGUAACAGGUCUUCGGAUGCUGACGAGUGGCGAACGGGUGAGUAAUACAUCGGAACGUGCCUAGUAGUGGGGGAUAACUACUCGAAAGAGUGGCUAAUACCGCAUGAGAUCUACGGAUGAAAGCAGGGGAUCGCAAGACCUGGUGCUACUAGAGCGGCUGAAGGCAGAUUAGGUAGUUGGUGGGAUAAAAGCUUACCAAGCCGACGAUCUGUAGCUGGUCUGAGAGGACGAUCAGCCACACUGGGACUGAGACACGGCCCAGACUCCUACGGGAGGCAGCAGUGGGGAAUUUUGGACAAUGGGCGAAAGCCUGAUCCAGCAAUGCCGCGUGCAGGAUGAAGGCCUUCGGGUUGUAAACUGCUUUUGUACGGAACGAAAAGCCCCGGGUUAAUACCCUGGGGUCAUGACGGUACCGUAAGAAUAAGCACCGGCUAACUACGUGCCAGCCGCCGCAGUAA